rnacentral:lncRNA from 1 species
GGCCCAACCACCAGUGCAUUAACUUGGAAAAUAAACCGAGCCUGAGCAAGUUCGGGGCUUCGACAUAGUUUGCCUUCUUUUUGCAGCCUGCACCGAUUCUUUUAUUUGGCUUUUAAAUGGCUCCUUCUCCCCUUAAAACGCAACCUGCCAGUAUUUUGUUUUGUUUUGUCUUUUUUUUUUUUUAAAGUGGGAACUCUUCCCCUCCCCCAAACUAGCAGCAUUCUUCCAGUUCAUUCUCCUGUGACUGAGAAGCACAGCAUGGAUUGAUUCUAAGGUCACUUUUGCAUGCUGGCGAGUCAGCUGACCGGUUGAUGGAGUCCCUUACUCCUUUCAGCACAGUAGUGGUUUCUCGUGUUAGAGAAAAAGCCUGUGAUUUUUCUUGGACGUUAAAGCUCCAGGUGUUGGACUGGAGAGAUAGCUCAGUGGUCAAGAGCACUGACUGCUCUUCCAGAGGUCCUGGGCUCAAUUCUCAGCAACCACAUGGUAGCUCACAGCCAUCUAUAGUGGGAUCCGAUGCCCUCUUCGGAUGUGUCUGAAGAGAGUGACAGUGUACUCAUAUAGAAAAUAAAUAAAGCUUUAAAAAAAAAAAAAA